GCCCGGUUAGCUUAGUUGGAAGAGCGUGAGACUUUUAAUCUCAAGGUCGCGGGUUCGAGCCCCGCAUUGGGCG
rnacentral:tRNA from 3 species